GGCGAGAUAGGCCGAGCGGUCCAAGGCGCUGGUUUUAGGCACCAGUCCCUUUCGGGGGCGUGGGUUCGAAUCCACUCUCGUCA